rnacentral:rRNA from 1 species
UACGUAGGGUGCGAGCGUUGUCCGGAAUUAUUGGGCGUAAAGAGCUCGUAGGCGGUUUGUCGCGUCUGCCGUGAAAGUCCGGGGCUCAACUCCGGAUCUGCGGGUGGGUACGGGCAGACUAGAGUGAUGUAGGGGGAGACUGGAAUUCCUGGUGUAGCGGUGAAAUGCGCAGAUAUCAGGAGGAACACCGAUGGCGAAGGCAGGUCUCUGGGCCA